UCCGGGAACCCUCCAUGAAAGAAAUUAGGAGACUUCAAGAAUAAGCUGAAGCUGGAAAGUUUAUUUUCGAUCAUUUGGCAGCGUGUCGAUCUCGCCCUUUCACAGGGGCCCGACCAACGAGUCCCUUCCCGCCAGCGCCGAGCGUCUCCCCCAAGUGGGGCGGCCAAGGGGGAGACUUACGGGGACUGAAGAGCUAAACUGCGCAGAGUUGCAAGGCGGAUCAGGCCUGAGUCAUACAAGCCGCCCCCCUUCUCCUCCUACCCGCCUUGCUUACCCUACGGCCAGUCUUUGCUUGCCCUCCCACCGCCGCACCGGAGGGAUGAGAGCGCCCCUCGAUCCAGUUCGCAAAGGGGCCUAACGUGGGGAGGGCGCCACGACACCGGGAGACGCGGGCACGUGCGCGGGGACUUACAGGCAGGCAGCAUAGGAAGGAGCAAGCAUAGCGUACGUCCGAAAGAGCCCGACAUGUCGUAGAAGGUUUGCUCUCCUGCUUUCGCUUUCGCAAAGCGCGAAACGCGGGGUGGGACCCAACGGAAAGUCAGAAGAGGAAGAAGAGUCGUCUUCGUAACCUUUUAAUUCGCUCGUAAUGGAUGAAAGGGCAGUCUAUUGCUCCUAAGGACAGGGGCGACUGUGGAAGGGGAUGCGGGAAAGAGUUUCAGUGAGGCCGCCGUGCUGCCAGCCGCCUUGUUCUUAUCUUCGACGCCCCCCGAUGCUGCUUUCCCGUCCCUCGCCGCUAUCUUUCCGCUGCAGCCUUCCCCAACCUGCCGUUUUGCCGCACCCGUUAGUCCCCGCCAGCGUGGCUUGGAGUCCUUGAAACGGCGUGCGAAACAUCUGGAAGGAAACGCAGUUAGGGAAGGCUGCACCCUGAUCCCAUAUGCCCUUCUUUCUUCUUCGCUUCCAGCUCAAAAAAGCCUCCCUUUUUUCAGAGAUUUCUUCGGCUUGGAGCUGUCCUGGAGGCUUUAUUUUCCCCAGCUUCUUCCCAAGCUGCCCUGUUUGCCACAACCCGGUUUCCAGGUCCGCUUGCACCCGAGCUUAAACAACGGUGGUGGCCCAAACAGAACUGCACGGAGGACUUCGCUGUUCCCUGACGCCUCCACUCCCACGUGGCAAAGUUGUGGGUUGCAAGUUCCUUGAAGCAGGAAGCAGGUUUUAAUAAAAACAACACGUGCGUAAUUGAAA